GACUCUCGGCAACGGAUAUCUCGGCUCACGCAUCGAUGAAGAACGUAGCAAAAUGCGAUACUUGGUGUGAAUUGCAGAAUCCCGUGAACCAUCGAGUUUUUGAACGCAAGUUGCGCCUAAAGCCUUUUGGCUGAGGGCACGUCUGCCUGGGUGUCACAC
rnacentral:rRNA from 1 species